rnacentral:rRNA from 1 species
CUGGCUCAGGAUGAACGCUGGCGGCGUGCCUAACACAUGCAAGUCGAACGGGGUUAAGUGAAAUUUCGGAUGGACCUUAACUUAGUGGCGGACGGGUGAGUAACGCGUGGAUAACCUGCCUCACACUGGGGGAUAGCAGCUGGAAACGGCUGGUAAUACCGCAUAAGACCACGGCACCGCAUGGUGCAGGGGGUAAAAGAUUUAUCGGUGUGAGAUGGAUCCGCGUCUGAUUAGCCAGUUGGCGGGUAACGGCCACCAAAGCGACGAUCAGUAGCCGGCCUGAGAGGGUGAACGGCCACAUUGGGACUGAGACACGGCCCAAACUCCUACGGGAGGCAGCAGUGGGGAAUAUUGCACAAUGGGCGCAAGCCUGAUGCAGCAACGCCCGCGUGAGUGAAGAAGUAUUUCGGUAUGUAAAGCUCUAUCGGCAGGGAAGAAAGGCCCGAAAGGGAGAUGACGGUACCUGACUAAGAAGCCCCGGCUAACUACGUGCCAGCCGCUGC